GACGAACGCUGGCGGCGUGCUUAACACAUGCAAGUCGAACGGAAAGGCCCUGCUUUUGUGGGGUGCUCGAGUGGCGAACGGGUGAGUAACACGUGAGUAACCUGCCCUUGACUUUGGGAUAACUUCAGGAAACUGGGGCUAAUACCGGAUAGGAGCUCCUGCUGCAUGGUGGGGGUGGGAAAGUUUCGGCGGUUGGGGAUGGACUCGCGUCUUAUCAGCUUGUUGGUGGGGUAGUGGCUUACCAAGGCUUUGACGGGUAGCCGGCCUGAGAGGGUGACCGGCCACAUUGGGACUGAGAUACGGCCCAGACUCCUACGGGAGGCAGCAGUGGGGAAUAUUGCACAAUGGGCGGAAGCCUGAUGCAGCAACGCCGCGUGCGGGAUGACGGCCUUCGGGUUGUAAACCGCUUUCGCCUGUGACGAAGCGUGAGUGACGGUAAUGGGUAAAGAAGCACCGGCUAACUACGUG
rnacentral:rRNA from 1 species